CAUUGAGAUGGAGUUAUUCGGUGAUGAUGAGAGGAUUGCAUGGAAAGAAGUGGUAUCACAAGAUGAAUACAUCACUGCCACCCAUUCAACAAGUGCUGUGUUGGGGGCAGGGCGUCCGGU